CCCUGGGCUAAGGGGGGCCCCAGCACAGCAGGGCUCAGGCAGGCUGCCUGCAUGCGUGGCCCCAUGUUGCUCCAGGAAGCGGCCAGCUGCUGGCACUGGCCAAUGGGCGCUGCUAGAAGUGGCGCUGUCUG